UUGUCUUUUUGCUAUUUCUUGGCCUGCUCCUGCAGCAUAUGGAGGUUCCCAGGCUAGGGGUCGAAUCGGAGCUGUAGCCACCAGCCUACGCCAGAGCCACAGCAACACGGGAUCCGAGCCGCGUCUGCAACCUACACCACAGCCACGGCAACGCCGGAUCGUUAACCCACUGAGGAAGGGCAGGGACCGAACCCGCAACCUCAUGGUUCCUAGUCGGAUUCGUUAACCACUGUGCCACGAUGGGAGCUCCUCUUUUUUUUUUAAAUUGGCGUAUAGCCAGGAAGACUUUUAAGCUCUGUGAAUUGAUCUAAUAGGGAAUUAUCGCUCUCCACUGCCAUUUGCUUGUUGUCAUAAUACUCAGUUUAAGUGACACACAUUUGUUAUUUAAAUAACUGAGUUGUUCGGGGGCUAGUGGUAUAGAGGAUGAUAGGCUGGAGACAUGACAGAGUUUCAUAAACCAGGGCUGGAAAAUACCUGGGACGCUUGGAUAAUCUUACAUGCUCCUUUGUAAGGAUAUAGUUCCAUAUUUUUGCCUAGUAAAUAGUAUUUCUCUCCAUUCCCCGCCCCACCUUUUCCAGUUAAUGAUGAUUUCUGGAAUGCUUGGGGCCAGGAUGCAUACAGCUCGGCUGCAAGUCCUAAUGAGUUCCACUUUAUUUCAUUCAUUAAAUUAAAAUACAAGAGAAGGGUGAGCAUCUAUUAUGAAAUGAGAUAAAGCACAUAAAAUAGGAGGUCCUGAAUGAGCCUUUGCUAUCUCCUCUCUGGCUCAGUCCCCUGGGAAGGGAGAUUAACGGGCAAUCACUUUCAUUAAGACCGAUCAUUCCUUGGGCUCAUGGCUUCGGGGACCUGAGUCAUGGUUGGGAUGUGAGCAGCUUCUUUCAUAGAGCAGAGUCUGCUGGCUGGAAGAAUCUAGAAUUGUAACGAAAGAAAGGAAACAUGAAUGAGAAAUGACUAGACUUUACACCCGAUGCUUUGGAACAUUCCAGAGCCAAGAAAAGCCCUUCUUGUCACACAUGAUUUCUUAAUAAUUAGGGCCAGCUGUGCUUGGGCAAUUCCGGUCAAGCCAGAUGCCAAAACCCAUUGCAGACACAGGAAGAGCCUCAUCGUCAAGUCUCCAAACAAGCAGUCGAAAAUCAAAAGAGAAGACCAGCAAAGUUGGAAAGCCAAGGGCUCCUUCCUCCCAGGAAGAGCAAUGAAAAGUAAGGUAAGAUGUGCCAGCUCUUCUCCCCUGCCUGAUACACCUGUGUGCCUGGAUGAAGGUAAGAGAUGCUCUCCCAGGUAUGAAGCCCCCCCUGGAACCCCAUCAGUAUAA
rnacentral:lncRNA from 1 species